rnacentral:rRNA from 1 species
UACGGAGGGUGCAAGCGUUAUCCGGAUUCACUGGGUUUAAAGGGUGCGUAGGUGGGCAGGUAAGUCAGUGGUGAAAUCUCCGGGCUCAACCCGGAAACUGCCAUUGAUACUAUCAGUCUUGAAUAUCGUGGAGGUAAGCGGAAUAUGUCAUGUAGCGGUGAAAUGCUUAGAUAUGACAGAGAACACCAAUUGCGAAGGCAGCUUACUACCCGAAUAUUGACACUGAGGCACGAAAGCGUGGGGAUCAAACAGG